rnacentral:rRNA from 1 species
GUGCCAGCAGCCGCGGUAAUACCGGCAGCCCAAGUGAUGGCCGAUCUUAUUGGGCCUAAAGCGUCCGUAGCUGGCCGCGCAAGUCCAUCGGAAAAUCCACCCGCCCAACGGGUGGGCGUCCGGUGGAAACUGCGUGGCUUGGAACCGGAAGGCUCAGAGGGUACGUCCGGGGUAGGAGUGAAAUCCCGUAAUCCCGGACGGACCACCGAUGGCGAAAGCACUCUGAGAAGACGGCUUCGACAGUGAGGGACGAAAGCUAGGGUCUCAAACCGGAUUAGAAACCCCAGUAGUCC